rnacentral:lncRNA from 1 species
AUAGAACCAGGGAAUGAUACACAGAUUUCAGAAUUUCUUCUUCUGGGACUUUCAGAUAAACCAGAAUUGCAGCCCUUCCUCUUUGGGCUGUUCUUCUCCAUGUACCUGGUCACUGUGCUUGGGAAUCUGCUCAUCAUCCUGGCCACAAUCUCAGACUCCCACCUCCACACCCCAUGUACUUCUUCCUCUCCAACCUGUCCUUUGCGGACAUCUGUUUCAUCUCUACUACAAUCCCAAAGAUGCUCGUAAACAUCCAGACACAGAGCAGAGUCAUCACUUAUGCAGGCUGCAUCACCCAGAUGUGCUUUUUUGUACUCUUAGAAGCACUGGACAGCUUACUCCUGACCGUGAUGGCCUAUGACCAGUUUGUGGCCAUCUGUCACCCCCUGCACUACAUGGUCAUCAUGAGCCCCUGGUUCUGUGGACUGCUGGUUCUGGCAUCCUGGAUCAUC